rfam:Eucalyptus grandis cultivar BRASTZ1 unplaced genomic scaffold scaffold_5, whole genome shotgun sequence.
AGUUCGUGAUGUGGGCAUCUUCUAAAAAAUUCUUUGAAUCUUUCCCAUGCUUCAUAUAACGAUUCAUUAUUCAUCUGCAUAAAAUUAGUAAUAUUGUUACGCAUUU